rnacentral:rRNA from 1 species
GACGAGGGGUCCAAGCGUUGUUCGGAAUCAUUGGGCGUAAAGCGGGUGUAGGUGGCUCUAUAAGUCAGGGGUGAAAUCCCGAGGCUCAACCUCGGAACUGCCUUUGAUACUGGGGAUCUCGAGUCCGGGAGAGGUGAGUGGAACUGCGAGUGUAGAGGUGAAAUUCGUAGAUAUUCGCAAGAACACCAGUGGCGAAGGCGGCUCACUGGCCCGGAACUGACGCUGAGGUGCGAAAGCGUGGGGAGCAAACAGG